rnacentral:rRNA from 1 species
AGCAGCCGCGGUAAUUCCAGCUCCAAUAGCGUAUAUUAAAGUUGUUGCAGUUAAAAAGCUCGUAGUUGAAUUUCGGGACUAGUACGCUGGUCAUGCCUUUGGUAUGUACUGGUGUUACUGGUUCCUACCUUCUGACGAACCGUCAUGUCAUUCAUUUGGUGUGGCGGGGAAUCAGGACUGUUACUUUGAAAAAAUUAGAGUGUUUAAAGCAGGCUCGCGCUUGAAUACAUUAGCAUGGAAUCAUGAAAUAGGACGUUUGAUCCUAUUUUGUUGGUUUCUAGGAUUGACGUAAUGAUUAAUAGGGAUAGUUGGGGGCAUUAGUAUUCAAUUGUCAGAGGUGAAAUUCUUGGAUUUAUUGAAGACUAACUACUGCGAAAGCAUUUGCCAAGGAUGUUUUCAUUAAUCAAGAACGAAAGUUAGGGGAUCGAAGACGAUCAGAUACCGUCGUAGUCUUAACCAUAAACUAUGCCGACUAGGGAUCGGAUGAUGUUAUUUUUAAUGA